AUUGGGAACAUUUGGCAUACAU
rnacentral:miRNA from 14 species